GCCUCUGUAGCUCAGUUGGCUAGAGCGCUGCACCGGAAUCGCAGGGCCGUAGGUUCAAUUCCUACCAGAGGAC
rnacentral:tRNA from 1 species